AUUGAACGCUGGCGGCAGGCCUAACACAUGCAAGUCGAGCGAGCGGCGGACGGGUGAGUAAUGUCUGGGAAACUGCCUGAUGGAGGGGGAUAACUACUGGAAACGGUAGCUAAUACCGCAUACCAUCAGAUGUGCCCAGAUGGGAUUAGCUAGGAGGUGGGGUAACGUCUCACCUAGGCGACGAUCCCUAGCUGGUCUUGGAGGAUGAACAGCCACACUGGAACUGAGACACGGUCCAGACGCCUAGGGGAGGCAGCAGUGGUGAAGAUUGAACAAUGGGCGCAAGCCUGAUGCAGCCAUGCCGCGUGUGUGAAGAAGGCCUUCGGGUUGUAAAGCACUUUCAGCGGGGAGGCGUUACCCGCAGAAAAAGCACCGGCUAACUCCGUGCCAGCAGCCGCGGUAAUUC
rnacentral:rRNA from 1 species